UACGAAGGGGGCUAGCGUUGCUCGGAAUCACUGGGCGUAAAGCGCGCGUAGGCGGAUCUUUAAGUCAGGGGUGAAAUCCCAAGGCUCAACCUUGGAACUGCCUUUGAUACUGGGGAUCUCGAGUCCGGAAGAGGUGAGUGGAACUGCGAGUGUAGAGGUGAAAUUCGUAGAUAUUCGCAAGAACACCAGUGGCGAAGGCGGCUCACUGGCCCGGUACUGACGCUGAGGUGCGAAAGCGUGGGGAGCGAACAGG
rnacentral:rRNA from 1 species